rnacentral:lncRNA from 1 species
GUGACUACAGAUGAAAUCGAGAUGGAAACCCAACCUGCAGCACCAGUUCCCUGCUGGAGGUCAGAGCUUUCUCAGGCUGCCUUUUUGUCCACCUGCUACAUCUGAGCGGCUGUGGCCACUGCAGACUGGACUCCCCUAGCCUCACUCCACUUCAUCAAGGGACCGUGUCUGACAAACCCGGUAUGACUGAGACUGAGAAAUUUGACAAGUAGAAAUGGAAGGAAACAGAAACACAACAGGAAAAUCCCUGCCUUCAAAAGAAACGCUUGAACAAGAGAAGCCAGCAAGAGACAUUUGUCCAGGUGCAAGCACUUCAGUAGAGGGUCCCAGGUCCAGCUAUCUCAAGAUGAUAUUUCAC